UGGGGAAUUUUGGACAAUGGACGCAAGUCUGAUCCAGCCAUGCCGCGUGCGGGAAGAAGGCCUUCGGGUUGUAAACCGCUUUUGUCAGGGAAGAAACGAGUUUCUCUAAUACAGAGACUUAAUGACGGUACCUGAAGAAUAAGCACCGGCUAACUACGUGCCAGCAGCCGCGGUAAUACGUAGGGUGCAAGCGUUAAUCGGAAUUACUGGGCGUAAAGCGUGCGCAGGCGGUUAUGCAAGACAGAUGUGAAAUCCCCGGGCUCAACCUGGGAAUUGCCUUUGUGACUGCAAGGCUUGAGUGCGGCAGAGGGGGAUGGAAUUCCGCGUGUAGCAGUGAAAUGCGUAGAUAUGCGGAGGAACACCGAUGGCGAAGGCAAUCCCCUGGACCUGUACUGACGCUCAUGCACGAAAGCGUGGGGAGCAAACA
rnacentral:rRNA from 1 species